rnacentral:rRNA from 1 species
UUGGAGGGCAAGUCUGGUGCCAGCAGCCGCGGUAAUUCCAGCUCCAAUAGCGUAUAUUAAAGUUGUUGCAGUUAAAAAGCUCGUAGUUGAAUUUUGGAUUCGGCCAAUUGGUCCAUCUUUUAGAUGAGUACUGGUUGUGUUGGGUCUAUCCGCCUGGUGAUACGUAAUGUCCUUUAUUGGGUGUUGCGGGUAGUCAGGACCUUUACCUUGAAAAAAUUAGAGUGUUUAAAGCAGGCUUAUGCCGGAAUACAUUAGCAUGGAAUAAUAGAAUAGGACGAAGUUGUUUUAUUUUGUUGGUUUCUAGGACAACCGUAAUGAUUAAUAGGGAUAGUUGGG